UCGACUUGCACUCGCAUUUGUCCACGUCCAGGGACUCGAGCUUCUCCUUCAUGAAGCUGAACGGCAUGACUGCAAGAGCGAUCGAUCCCACAUCAGGCGCUUGCUGUUUGAUCAUCAUGUUGGUCUGGGCAACACUUACAUGAGGUGAAGUUGAACUGCCUGACGCUGCCAACACCGCCGUCGCCCUCCACGGGAUGGGCGCUUGUGACGACGUGAGAGGCGACCUUGGGCGCCAGGUUGUGCCAGUCCAUCACGGCGGCGCGGAACAGGCGCGGCGCGGCCACCGGCGACGGGAUCUCUAGGGUCCAGCUGUUGGAAGCCAUGCUGGUGGUGGUCUGGGAUGAGCUUUGGCUCGGUGCCUAGGCCUAGUUUGAUACUAGUAGCUGGAGCUGCUGCUUGUGUUGCUGGAACGAGCGGCAACAAGGUAUUUAAAUAGAGUGCGGUGAGCGCGGGGUUGGUGACGCUUUGCCCGGUUGGUGUCCGGUGGUGACUGGUGAGGGCCUCAAGUUGCUGGGCGAGUCGUCGGGCUUUUCCACAAUGGAUGGCUCUGUCGGUCGAGUGAGCUUUUAGUAAGGCGGGCGUCGAAACACACGUCUUGCACGGUCUUUGUCAAAACACGAGGAUAUAUUCGAGGAGUAUGUUGACGGAAUUGGCGCCACCUUCCGCUUGCACAAUUUGGUCUUUGGUAUAUAAAAGUAGUAUGUAAUGACUGUCAGAGUUCUAGAUAUUUGACUGCAUGUCUGCAUGCUAGGAUAACUUCCAUUCUAGAACGAUAUGAGGCCCUUGACUAACAUGAAUACAUCAUCUUUUGAAUUUAGACAUGAGAAGACUUAAAUUUUGUUUGACAUAACUCAACUUUAUUUUUGAAACUGCUUUUUUUAAAUAGCUCUACGUGCAACUUUCUCGGUAUUAAAAAGUUAUUUUAUAAAAUAGCUUCACUAACAACUUUAUGUAUGGUUGAGAGAGAGAAAUGAAAGAGCGCUUUGAAAAGUUAUUUUUAGCUCUAUUUUUCUGUGAGAGCAUAAAAAAGGUGUUUGACAAAAAACAACAACAACUCACAACAGCUCAUGAAGUUGUUGGUUAAACCGUGUCACAUAGAGCCUCACUUGCUGUCGACGAAAGCUGGUCGGCAGUCUACCUUGGGGUAUACCCACGGUAGUAGUUUAUUGGUAGACGGUGCGCAAACUACGAACUCGACGGUGACGCAAGACUCGGACAAGCUUUUUAUCCAGGUUCGGCCGCCGAGUUGGCGUAAUACCUACGUCCUGCGUCUGGUUGUAUUGAUUUGUGUUGAGAGAAUAUCCUGUCCUAGGGGGGUCCCUUGCCCCUCCUUAUAUAGUCUGGAGGGCAGGGUUACAGAUCUGGAAACUAAUCCUAGUCGGUUACAAUUGUCAUAGAUAGUUCGAUAUCAAUUCCUAUUCUAACCGACUAGAAUCCUGCUUGAUCUCCACAUCUUGCUUCCUUGCGCGAAACCCCAUGCUGUCGGAUCAAGCCUUGAACUCGUCUCGUAAUGGGCCAAGCCUCCUGGCCCAAGUCUAGCCAUAAGGGUAUAGGGGUCUAUCCCCCCACACUUGCUGACAGUGAUGCCACCUUUUUCUUCUUAUCUCAUCCCUUAUGGAUCUUUUAUGAGAAACAUCUUGUUUAAUUUAUAAAAAAACUACCCUUUUUUUAAGUGACUCCUUCUUGCUCUAGCGAGAUCUUUUACCGUUGUCGAAAUGGUAACAUGAUGUACCACUCAACAUGCAUGAGAGGUAAACCACGGUACCUUUAGGACUAAUAGUUUUGACACCUACAGUACCAAACUCAAGUUAUAUAGUUUUGAUAACUUACCAAGGAUAAUAAAAAAAAACUCCUUACAAAUGCCUUCUAUGGCUUCUUAUAGGCACUUGUUAUGAUAUAAGGACACAACUAUGACAAUUAAGGAAUGGUGGGCAUCCUUAUUGAAGGUCCAUUUGGACUUUGGAUGCAAGGGGUAAUUGGUAGUUAGCUAAGAAUUAGCUCCCGUGUAUCUAAAUAGGAAUAUAUGUGCUAAUUUUUUAAUUAGCCAAGUUUUCAGCUAGUCGUUAGGCAAAUAGCUAGCCAACUAUAAACUAAUUUAGACUAAUUUUUAGCCCCAACUAAUAACUAGUGUAUCCAAAUAGAGUAGAAUUGUAAAAGAGAACGAUGGUAGUUCUAGUGUACUAUUUUUAGGAUGUCUACAAAUAACAAAAUAGAAGGGCUUUGCACGGAAAGAUGAAUUGACUCUAAAAAAGAAGGCUUGUGGCAAACCUAGUUUAGGCUUUUCAUUUCGCUGAAAAUACACUGAAAAGUACUGUUCACUGAUUUGUUGUGAGAGAAAAAUCCUGUAUCAUGACUGAUAAAUCUAAUGUCAUUGUUGUAUUCUUUUGUAACUUAAAUUUGCAAAAAUCUACAUUUUCUUUCUUUUUUAAAAGAAAAUGGACAGACAAGAGAGCUACCUUUUAUAUAGUACAGUCAGGCUUCUCCUUACGUGACCUGUCAUUUCUUAAAAAGAAAUGCAAGCUCGGUUGAUAAGGGUUUAGCCGUUUGAGGCCGCCGUUGAGCAUCACUUUUGUCUAAACUCAGAAAAUGAACUAAAAGCUGCUGUGAAGAGAUUUCGUGGCUUAUGAUUUGUUCUGGAAGCUAAAAAAAUAUUACAAAAUUCAAUAAUGAAAAUACAACAGUCAGAAGCCACAAAAUCAGCUUUUAUGUCAAAAGUACAAAAGAUACCGCUCAAACAAACAAGCCCUUAAAUGUCUUCUUCUCCCAGCUCUCUAGUGAACGCUAUAGCUCUUGGAGCUUUCAUAUUUUCCAUAAUAAUUUUAAACACUCUACCAAUAUCUACUGAAAAUGUAUCGAAAAAAUCAAAAUAUCUAUUAGAAAUGAGCAAAAUUAUCGGUCAAACUUGCAUAGAAUUCGAAAACAAAAUGCCCCUAUUCUUCCCACACAUAAAACCAUUGUAUACCCAUUUUCUGUCCCUUCUUCUUUCAAGAAAGUCAUUGUAUACCCAAAUAGUUUUCCAUCCGCCCUAUUUAUAGUCCAGUUUAUCCAGUUUUUGGUAAAACCUAGCCUAGCCCGUAGGAUUUAUCUACAACAGUUUCUAACCCACAGGUACCAGCGGUUUCCCUCCUGAUCUUCCCCAAUCGCCCACUUGCAACACCACGUUGCUCAUUGUUAACUUACUCUCCACGGACCUGUCCGCUCGUCGCGCUCGCCUCGAGCCGUCCGUGCGCUCUGGAGAUCCUAACUUUAUAUAUGGCCAUGCAGCCCAUGGCCCGGUGGCCCGGCCCAUGGCCUGACGAUUUGGCACGGCCCGAGGGACCCUGCCUAGGCCACCACCUAUGCACGCGACAUGGCCCAAGCAUGGCUUUAUCCAACGGUUGGCCCGGUAGCGGCUCGGUGAAAAUAAACUGUUGUGUAGUUGUGACUUAUAUAUAUAUGUGCCGUUAAUUGUUAUAUUGGAGAAAAUGAUGAACAAUUGGUGAAAAUGAUAAAGUGUUUUAGCACUUAGUGAAAAUGUUAAUGAAAAUGAACUGUUUUCGGCUAAACGGGUCGUGGGCUGGCACAAUACGAGAAAAACGCCAUGCUUGACGGGCCGACACGACACGAAAACCGGCCCAUAGGCCGUGCCUUAGGCCGAAGGCUAUGCAUGAAGUCCAUGGAGGCACGACCCGCAGCACGACACUGCAUGACGUUGGACAUAUAUAAUCCUAAAGCAGGACGAUUAGAAGGAAGAAGAUGGGGGUCUCCACCUGUCGUGCAGUGGAAUUCUCGUGCCUCCCCGUGCAUGGCCACGGUGCCACCAUUGACCACACGAGCGCGGCGUGGUGUGCGUCCGAAGAUGUUGUGGCUGGCGUUGAAGACAACCUCGAAGUUGUGCCUCUGUCCUCCAUUGGUGCCCAUGGGUACGCUGUUGAGCGGCGCUGGUGCCCCCUUCGUCGGCACGGGAGGAAGAACACGACCAAGUUUAACGAGUUGAGUGGUGUGGAAACGUCGCAAACCAACACGCGUGGUUUCUCCUGACACGGUUUACCGUGGGCUGAUUCACGGGUACACGGUUAGUAUACAUAUAUAUAGGGGGUGUUUGGUUCAAAAAAUGCAAAUGUCAAUUACUUUGUAAUGAUGGAAUGUAAAAGGUCAAACUUUUCAUGGUUAUGUUUAGUAAUGCAGAAUUUAUUGUCUUUAUAAGGGCCUCUUGAGGUUCUUUUGGUGUGUUUUUUUGCCUCUUGAGGUCAAAAUCUAAAAUAAAGAAUAAUUAUUUUUUUGCUAAAAAUUUUGCAUGCUGUUUAGUUAUAUUAUACAGAACAAUGGACCAAAACCAAGAAUUUUUUAGAAUAGCAGGGGAAAACACCCAUAAUCGCACAACGACAGCAUGCUACAUACCACUCAUAACAUCUCAAGUCCACACACCGCACACUGCUUAGAGCAGCUUUAUUUAUUUUGUACGAAAAAAGGAACAUGAAAGAAAAAAAAUCCAGUCUCUGAAUAUAUCAAAACAUGUAUAAGACCACCCGUGAAGUGCAAUCGCAUCCCCAUCCACAGAUUUAGUUGUAGGCGUCGGGGUUGGCGACGAGGUAGGCCUCGGCACCCUUGAAGAUGGCGGUGACUGCCUCCUUGGCCUUGACUUCCUCGCCCUUCACGUCCACACCCGGCAGCAGCUUGUAGGUCGACUCCACCUUCACCACGCUGCCGCCGCCGGCCGCGGGCUCCACCUUGAUGUGCGACGCCGCGGUCUCGACGGCCACGCCGAUGCCGCCUCCCUCGACGAGCGUCGACUUGCACUCGCACUUGUCCAUGUCCAGGGACUCGAGCUUCUCCUUCAUGAAGCUGAAUGGCAUGACUGCAAGAGCGAUCGAUCCCACGUCAGGCGCUAGCUGUUUGAUCGAUGAUCAAGCGAGAGAACAUCAUGUUGGUCUGGGCAACACUUACAUGAGGUGAAGUUGAACUGCCUGACGCUGCCAACACCGCCGUCGCCCUCCACGGGAUGGGCGCUUGUGACGACGUGAGAGGCGACCUUGGGCGCCAGGUUGUGCCAGUCCAUCACGGCGGCGCGGAACAGGCGCGGCGCGGCCACCGGCGACGGGAUCUCGAGGGUCCAGCUGUUGGAAGCCAUGGCUGGUGGUCUGCGAUGAGCUUUGGCUCGGUGCCUAGCUAGGUCUAGUUUGAUUAGCUGAUGCAAGUAGGUGGAGCUGCUGCUUGUGUUGCUGGAACGAGCGGCAAAAAGGGAUUUAAAUAGAGUGCGAUGAGCGCGGGGUUGGUGACGCUUUGCCCCGUUGGUGUCCGGUGGUGACUGGUGAGGCCUGAAAGUUGCUGGGCGAGUCGUCGCGCUUUUCCACAAUGGAUGGCUCUCCGUCGGUCGAGUGAGCUUUAUUAAUAAGGCGGGCGUCCAAAACACACGUCGUUGUCGCACACUCUUUGUCAAAACACGAGGAUAUAUUCGAGGAAUAUGUUGACCGAAUUGGCGGCUUGCCGCCACCUUCCGCUUGCACAAAUUGGUCUAGGUCUUAAAAACAAGCCAUGUAUGUCACAUUUGGUUGGUAUAUACAAGUAGUAUGUAAUGACUGUCAGAGUUCUAGAUAUUUGACUGCAUGGAUGUCUGCAUGCUGGAUAACUUCCAUUCUAGAACGAUAUGCCUUGACUAACAUGAAUUCAUCAUCUUUUGAAUUUAGACAUGAGAGGACUUAAGUUCCGUUUGACACAACUCAGUUUUAUUAUCGAAGCUGUUUCUUUAGAUAGCUUUAUGAGUAACUUUCUUGGCUGAGCUAUUUUAGAAAAUCAUUUUGUAAAAUAGUUUCACUAACAACUUUAUGCAUGGUUGAGAGGGGAAAAUGAGAGAGCUUUUUGAAAAGUUGUUUUUUAGUUCUACUUUUCCGUGGGAGCAUAAAAAAGGUGUUUGACAAAAGAAAAGAGUAAAGUCCAUCACCAGUCUCUAAACUUGUUUAGGUAUAUCAUCCCGGUCUCUAACUCGCAAAACGAUCGUUUAGGUACCUAAACUUGUUCGGCUAUAUCACUCUGGUCCCUAAACUUGGAAAUCUCAUAUAUAGGCCUUCAAACUUGUUUAGUUGUGUCAUCCCAGUCCCUAAACUUGUUUUUAAGUCUCGUCUGGUUCAAAACGGAACGAAUCUAAAAACUCUAUAAAUAACUCAUAACUUUUUCAUAUAAACUCAAAUAAAGAUAAACUUUAUAUUAAAAUUAUAGCCAACAAUGUGAUCUACAACUUUGUAGUUAAAAAGUUUUUAAACUAAAAUAAUUUAGGGUCUCAUUUUUUUGUAAGUUUAUUAAAUUUUGUGACACUAAAUGACUUCAAAUAAAAAACUUUUCAACUACAAAGUUAUAGAUCACAUUGAAGGCUACAACUUUAAUAUAAAGUUUGUUUUCAUUCAAGUUUAUAUGAAAACGUUAUGAAUUAUUUUUCUAUAUAGAGUUUUUAGAUCGCUUUGUUUUGACCCAGGUGAGACUCAAGACCAAGUUUAGGGACUGAGAUGACACAACUGAAUAAAUUUAAGGACCUAAAUGGGUAAUUUCUAAGUUUAGAAACCAGGAUGACACAUCUGAACAAGUUUAGAGACCGGAAUGAUAUAGACAAACAAGUUUAAUGACCUAAAUGAUCAAUUUAUGAGUUUAGGGACCGAUCGAGGUGAUACAACAGGUGGUGGAUUUUACUAUAAAAACUCACAACAACUCAUGAAGUUGUUGAUGAAGCUGUGCCAAAUAAGGCCUCACUUGCUGACGGUGUUGUCACCCUUUUCUUCUUAUCUCACCCUUUACAGAUCUUUUACAAGAAACAUCUUGUAAACAAAUCGUUGUCACCCUUUUUUUUUUGUUGAGUGACCCCUUCUCGCUCUAGCAAGAUCUUUUGCCGUUCUUCAAAUGGUAACAUGAUGUACCACUCAACAUGCAUGGGAGGUAAAAAAAAUGGUACCUAGGUACUAAUACUUUUGAUAGCUACAGUACCAAACUCAAGUUAUAUAUAGUUUUGAUACCUUACCAACGAUAAAAAAACUCCUUACAAAUGACUUCUAUGGCUUCUUAUAGACACUAGUUGCUAUAUGAUAUAAGGACACAACUAUGACAAUUAAGGAGUGGUGGGGUCUUUAUUAAAGGUUUGUUUGGACUUUGGAUACAAGGCGUAAUUGCUAGUUAGCUAAGAACUAGCUCGUGUAUCUAAAUAUGAGAGUUAAUAGGUGAGUUACUUUUAUAGUCAUUUUUUUUACUAGUCGUUAGUCAACAACCAGUAACUAGCCAUGUGUAUCUAAAUCUCCUACAACUAAAAAGAACAAAACGUGGAUACUUUUUGGUGCGACAUUCUAACGUGGGCCCAUAGUCCUGCCUGCUGCGUUCCCGUGGCCACUCUACAUCGUGCAUGACAUCCCUUGCGAUAUUCAAUUCAAAUCAAGAAUCGAUAUGUCAGGUUCCAGUUUUUAUACGAUUGCCAUAUGAAGCCUUUCCGCCAAAAGCCGUCCGACCACGGUGAAACAAAAAUAAUAAUAAAAUCUGCCCCAAUUCACGGACGGGUGACCAACGUGGCCAUGCAUGAAAGAAAUCGUCUAAAAAAUACUCAACUUUCCAUCUCUUCCGCUCCCUUUUCUUGAGAAAAAUGGUCAACCAUCGUGCAACUAAUCAGGAGACCAUCCCACCGAUCCCGCGUGCACAGCUGGCGGAAGCCCCUCGCGCGGUCACAAUCUCUCCUCAAUCAUGCACGGACAUCGCGUUCCUUAGGCAAAAGCAGAAAUUCCUCUCGAUCAUGCGCCGCCGCAACGAAACAUCUUCCUUUCCUGCCCGACGCCCUCGCUCUCGGUGCUUGGAGAGAUCGAGCCGAGCAUACCGGCUUCCCCUGAAGGCUUGAGACGGACACAGUUGACUGCUUCUUCGUCAUUGAUUGUCGCCAGCAACUGCGCCCUUGGCAUCGGUGUGGCCUUGCAAGAUUGGAUCUUUUUGUUUUCAUCCCAAUCAUCGCCAUGGCGGCCUCCUCCCCCUGAACGAUGAACGCAGCUGCUUCGUCAUUGAUGAUCAGCUUCUGACCCUUCACCAAUCUCUAUCCCCUAUUAUUUGUUCCAUCAUCUGUUCCACUUUCCACGAUUGAUUCAGUACUGGUGUUGCAAACUUAUUUCGAUUCUCAAAAAGCGAACAACCUGAUCGGUUUGGUAAGCAUCUUUCUAUUCCAGGCUAUCGAAGCUCUCAUUAAGCUUUUUGAUUCAGUUUGUGCCAAAGGUACGUUCUUGGCAAAUGCGAGCUGGCACCAUGAAGCAAAUUAUAGCUAUUGGAGUCCAGUAGAUAAUAUCUUGUGUGAUCUCCUUGUUCUUAAAUAGUGUAAUUUAAGAAAAAACUUAUUCAUGUUUGUUCUCUUCGACCUUUUUAGAUACAAGACACAGAUUAUUAUAUUGAUAUCAUAAUUGGUUGUGGCAUUGAGGUGUGUAAAUUUAUGCUUUUCUCUUUUCUGUCGGUGUUUAAACUCUCUUCUGAAUUCAUGCCAUCCAUUGACUCCAGGUGAGAAACACCUCCUGUUGUUUAAUUGUUUUUUUGCUCUUGCUUUCAGUAUGAAUAGUCAAAUAUAGUCAAAACAAUAACCUGGUUCAGUAGUAAUAAGGAAUCAAGCUAUUGCAACACUUCUUGUCAAAAAAAUGCAGCACUUCUAGAGUUGCUACGGGUUUUAAAAUUCUCACUUGCUGCACAUUAGGAGACGAAAUUCUUGGUUUCAGUUAGCAGAGUGACACUUAUCACUGUUAUCUAUAAGGCAAAUCUAACAACAUAGCACAGAUUGUGGACAUCAGUUUUUUUUUAGAAAGUGGACAUUGUGGGCGGCUGAGCGGGCACCUACGGGUGGGCGCGGCCGGCGUCAUGGCCAGCUCUGGGCGGGCGCGGGGUGGGGGAGGGGGGUGAUCAAGGCUGAAUCACAGGAAGGUUUCCUUUUAGGUGCUGUUAGCUUGGUUGGCUAAUCCCACACGCUUGAGGAGUUGCCUCUAGGAGGGGGCUGAAAUCACUUGGAGUUUCUUUUGAAUAUCGCAACGGGUGGAAAUAUUGAUCACGAAAAAAGUGGAAACAAAUAGCACCUUGGCUCUUUCCUUUUGAAUAUAGCAAAGGAUGCUGUAGGUGGGCGACGACGUUGUAGGCUCACAAAAUCACUGUCGUUUGCAAUAACAAAUACCUAUGAUUUAACUAUUUCUAUAUAUUGCUGAUCAUGAAUCUUCCUACAGGUACUUAAGUGGAUUUCUCAUCCUACAAUAUAUGUCUACAUGGAAUAGACCAAAAGCCACACAUAUUUAUACAGUGAGUCUAACACUUUGUCUAAGUUUUUGUAAAAGUUUUUUAACAAAAUAUAGUAUUACCCAUGCGACACACACUAAUAUUUACAUAUAUAUACUCGAAUGUGUGACAGGAUGGUACGAAGAUGCGGCAGAAUUUAUUUGUGGAUUUACUGGCACAUGAAAGAAAUGGAUAUCCGAGAUAUCUUCCCGUCGAUAUUAAACAUUAUCUUAGCCGUAUCACGGAAAGGUCUAUAAAGUAGAGUUUGUGAGCCUACAACGUCGUGCUCUUCGUGACUGUGUUUGAUUUCACAAACAUUGCGAUCCUACAAUGUCAUUUUCAAGUUGUUAUUUAAGUAGAAGAUUCUAAUAUUAUUAUCUUGUUAUGCGAUCUAUGUAUUUUAAAUAAAAAAUGUUAGCUAUCCCGUAGCAACGCACGGGCAUGCUAUCUAGUAGAGUAGAAUUGUAAAAGAGAACAAUGGUAAUUCUAGUGUACUAUUCUUGAGAUGUCUAGAAAUAACAAAAUAGAAGGGCUUUGCACGGAAAGAGGAAUGUACUGUGAAAAACAUGGCAUAACUUAUGCCGAGGCUGUUCGUUCCGUUAAAAAAAUAAGUUGAAAAGAAAGUAAUGUUCACUAAUUUAUUGUGUGAGAAAAAUAUUGUAUCAUAGCUGAUAAGUCUGUAGUGUCAUUGUUAUAUUCGUUUGUAACAUAAAUUUGCAAAACUCUACAUUUAACAUUUUCUCUUUUUUUUAGAAAAAAAUGGACAGACACGAGAGCUACCUUUUAUAUAGUACAGUCAGGCUUCUCCUUACGUGAUUGAGCAAAGCUCGGUUGAGCAAACAAGGAUGACACAUCUGAACAAGUUUAGAGACCGGAAUGAUAUAGACAAACAAGUUUAAUGAUCUAAAUGAUCAAUUUAUGAGUUUAGGGACCGAGAUGAUACGACAGGUGAUGGAUUUUACUAAAAAAACUCACAACAACUCAUAAAGUUGUUGAUGAAGCUGUGCCAAAUAAGGCCUCACUUGCUGAUGGUGUUUUCACCCUUUUCUUCUUAUCUCACCUUUUACAGAUCUUUUACAAGAAACAUCUUGUAAACAAAUGGCUUAACUCUUUUUGUUGAGUGACCCCUUCUCGCUCUAGCAGGAUCUUUUGCCGUUCUUCAAAUGGUAACAUGAUGUACCACUCAACAUGCAUGGGAGGUAAAAAAAUGGUACCUAGGUACUAAUACUUUUGAUAGCUACAGUACCAAACUCAAGUUGUAUAUAGUUUUGAUACCUUACCAACGAUAAAAAAACUCCUUACAAAUGACUUCUAUGGCUUCUUAUAGACACUAGUUGCUAUGAUAUAAGGACACAACUAUGACAAUUAAGGAGUGGUGGGGUCUUUAUCAAAGGUUUGUUUGGACUUUGGAUACAAGGCGUAACUGCUAGUUAGCUAAGAACUAGCUCGUGUAUCUAAACAUGGGAGUUAAUAGGUGAGUUACUUUUAUAGUCAUUUUUUUGACUAGUCGUUAGUCAACAACCAGUAAUGUGGGGGUAUAAACCCCUAUACCCUUACGGCUAGACUUCGGCCAGGAGGCUUGGCCCAUUACGAGACGAGUCCAAGGCUUGAUCCGACAACCUGGAGUUUCGCGCAAGGAAACAAGAUGUGGAGAUCAAGCAGGAUUCUAGUCGGUUAGAAUAGAAAUUGAUAUCGAAUUAUCCAUGACAAUUGUAACCGACUAGGGUUAGUUUCCGGAUCUGUAACCCUGCCCUCCAGACUAUAUAAGGAGAGGCAAGGGACCCCCCUAGGACAUCAUAUUCUCUCAACACAAAUCAAUACAACCAGACGCAGGACGUAGGUAUUACGCCAACUCGGCGGCCGAACCUGGAUAAAAAGCUUGUCCGUGUCUUGCGUCACCAUCGAGUUCGUAGUUUGCGCACCGUCUACCGAUAAACUACUACCGUGGGUAUACCCCAAGGUAGACUGCCGACUAGCUUUCGUCGACAGUGGCGCGCCAGGUAGGGGGUGUGCGUGCAACUUUUCCGGCGAACAAGAUGGUCACGAUCCCAGCUUCCGCGACCGUGCCCGAAGGCCUCACGUUCACCGUCGGCCAGAUCACGUGGACGGCGUGCAGCGGCGGCUUCACGACCACGGUUUCGGAAGAGAUCCAGAUCCAAUCUGAGUUCACGCCGUCUCCGACCACACGCAUGACGGCACCAAGCGCCCGACCACCGUUCCCACUCUACAAGGGAAAGGAGAUCGACUGCUCGGACCUUCUCCAAGCGCUUGAUCGCGCUGACUCCAAGCUACUCGAAGUUUCCCAACUAAUAGAUGGAGUUCUGCGUCGGCCCGACCAAGCUGCUCCAGCGGAUUUUUUCAAAUCCCGCCGGCCAACUCGUGUCGCCACACACGAACGGCUGGGAACGUCUCUGACGAUAACCUCAACCCCCUCAGGACGAUCCGUCCAGCUCAAGAAGGAAGACUAUCCUUGCGGCCUGAACAACUCGACCUCUGUUUACUCACGGCACACCCAAUCCGUUUUCAGCAAGGCGGGUUGGUCGCCGACAACGAACAAUCGUCACCACGUCAACAUGGUGACAAUCCGAGAACUACGGGACGGCCAGGCUUCCAGCACCAACUCAAGCACCGGCUCCGUCCCCACCGAGGUUAUAAACACCGAAGACGAGGACUAUGACCUGGAUUUCCCUUCAUACCCUCCGGGUUUCGACCGAUUCCCGAUAUUCCCCCCCCGGCGAGGGGAUAUUGUGUUCAAUGUCAGCGCCGACGAACCGGUCGUUGAUGGAGAAACAGAUGACCAGAGGCAACUCCGCGAACGGCGUAACGCCGAUCGCGCCCGACGACGCGCGGACGAGCAACAACAAAUGCCACCAAAUAAUCUCAACGAUGCCUUUGACAUGGUCGGGGACCAGCCAGUCUACAAAACGCCAAGCGCCAACGUGGCUGUCGCCAUGGCUAACCUGGAUCGGCUUCCCGACACCCCCGAAUGCCAGGGAGUCCGGACCAGCAUCCGAGCACACCUGAUCGCCGCAAUGGGACAGACGGCCACUCUGCUCAAGAGAGUCUAGGACGUCUCUUAUACGGAAGCCGUCUCCGACCAGACUAAUCAUAGCCGGGCCUCACCCAGCAGGCGUCACCGCAGCCGCUCCCCCGACAACCGUCGAGGGGACUCACGGCGCGACGAUGGUGGUCGGGACGCCGAUGGCCGCCGCAAGCAGAACCGCGUACGCGGCCAAGAGGAAGAUCAACACAGGGAUCUCCGCCACAACAUCCCUUCCAAAGAUGCCCGGGACCACAUCAACAGGCGCGCUGCAGAGAGAGCAGUCCACGAAAACCUGCGCCGCAUCGAGUACGAUGCAACACACGGUCCCCCGGGCCUAAGACAGUUCUCCUCGCACCUCCGCCAGGUCGUGUGGCCCCGCAAUUUCAAGCUCGAAAAACUCAAAAAGUACGACGGCAAGGAAAAUCCAGAGAACUGGAUCACCCUCUAUGACAUCGCCGUCCGAUCAGCGGCAGGGGACGAGCACGUCAUGGCUAACUACUUCCCCGUAGUCCUCGACCAGGCUGGUCAUCAGUGGCUUCUCGGCUUGCCCGAGGACUCCUUCGACUCUUGGGAAGAGCUACGCCAGGCUUUCAUCGACAACUUCAUCGCCACAUGCGAGCAGCCUGGAAACAAGUAUGACCUUGAAAGGAUAAGGGACAGGAAGAACGAACCUCUGCGCGAUUACAUCCGACGAUUCUCGGAUAUGCGCCUCAAAAUCCCGAAGAUUUCUCAUGACGAGGCCAUCUCAGCCUUCAUCAAGGGCCUGCGUUUCCACGAAGCGCUGAGGAACAAGCUGUUGCGUAAGCGUCCAACAACGGUAGCAGAGCUCCUCGCCACGGCCAAAAAUUACGCCGAUGCCGAUGACGCAGAAAAACUAAUCCGAGACGAUGCGAGGGGUCCCGACCAGCCUCCCCGACGAGAUGAUGGUCGUGGUCGCAACGACAGCAGAAAUCACCGCCGCUCCGACAACCGCGAUCAUCGAGAGGGUUGGGAUCGGCGGCGCGACAGCCGCGAUGACUUCAGAGGAAAGCGCCCUCGCGACUACGACCACGAAGUAAAUACGGUCAAACGACCCAAUGGACGACGGGACUACCAAGAAGACUACAACAAAACGUUGAGGGGACCAUGCCAACUACACCCAAAGUCCAAUCAUACCAUGGAAGAGUGCCGCGUCCUCAAAAGUAUCUAUACACGGCGGGCCGCCCAAGACGACUCCGCCAAGAAAAACAACAAGCGCGACGCGCACGACCACGAAGAUGAGGAUGAGGACCAAGAUAGGGACCCCCGACACCAAUACGUCAGCCCCACUGACGUGGUCCACUCCAUUUUCGGGGGCAAGGUCUCCACUGAGUCCAAGCGAGAAAGAAAGCUGUUAAAGAGAGCCUGCCUCAACAUAGACAGCACGGACGGGCUGAUCGCAGACCCGAAAUUUCCCACGUGGUCCCACAGGGAGAUCUCGUUCAGCAGGAAGGACCAGUGGGCCGCUAUCCCAGAGCCGGGUCGUUUCCCCCUGAUUCUUGACCCCUGCAUCAACAGCAUCAGAUUCGAGCGCGUGCUCGUGGACGGGGGAAGCUCCAUCGACAUCCUCUUCCGCAACAGCCUGCCCGCCCUCAAGAUAUCCCCGGCACAACUAAAACCUUACGACGCCCAAUUCUGGGGGGUUUUGCCAGGUCAAAGUUCCGUGCCUCUCGGACAGAUAACAUUGCCUGUCCAAUUCGGCACACCCGACCACUUCCGGACAGAGUUCAUCAACUUCGUAGUCGCGGAUUUCGACGGGACCUAUCACGCCAUACUGGGCCGCCCAUCGCUGACAAAGUUCAUGGCAGUCCCGCACUACUCAUACCUAGUCCUUAAGAUGCCCACGGAGAAGGGUGUCCUAACCAUCAGAGGCAACGUCUACACUGCGUACACCUGCGAAGAAGAAAGCUUCAAGAUCACCGAGGCAAUUGACCUCUCAAUCCGCAUGGCGGAAACAGCAAACCAAGCCGCACAGCUGCCUCCCGACCAGCUCCGAUUACCCGAACAGGCGACAGCCAGGAAGAACUCAAAAUCCAAGGAGUACAAAGAAGUGCAGCUGGUCGAAGGCAACCCCGAGAAGACAGCCCUCAUCGGGGCCAACCUGGAUCCAAAAUAGGAAGACGCGCUCGUCAGGUUUCUAAGGGACAACGUGAGCGUUUUCGCAUGGAAACCCGCAGACAUGCCCGGUGUCCCACGAAACCUGAUCGAGCACUCCUUAAAUGUCUCGAAGACCGCAAGACCAAUCAAGCAAAAACUGCGACGGUUCGCUCGUGACAAAAAGGAGGCUAUUAGGACAGAAAUAACACGGCUUCUAGCAGCCGGAUUCAUAAAAGAAGUGUAUCACCCCGAUUGGCUCGCCAAUCCGGUUCUUGUACGCAAAAAGAAUAAUGAAUGGAGAAUGUGCGUUGAUUACACUGAUCUCAACAAACACUGUCCUAAAGAUCCUUUUGGUCUCCCUCGCAUCGACGAGGUGGUCGACUCAACGGCCGGAUGCGAACUCCUCUCCUUUCUAGACUGCUACUCUGGUUAUCACCAGAUCUCGCUAAAGGAAGAAGAUCAGAUCAAAACAUCCUUUAUCACACCCUUCGGCGCAUACUGCUACACGACCAUGUCUUUCGGACUCAAAAACGCCGGAGCCACUUAUCAAAGGGCCAUCCAGCAAUGCCUCCACGACGAGAUUCGUGAUGACCUCGUCGAGGCCUAUGUGGACGACGUGGUCGUAAAAACAAGGGACGCGAGCACCCUAAUCGACAACUUAGACCGAACCUUCAAGGCACUUAAUAGGUACAAGUGGAAGCUCAACCCCAAGAAAUGCAUUUUCGGCGUUCCUUCCGGUCUACUGCUCGGCAACGUUGUCAGUUGCGACGGCAUACGACCAAACCCUUCAAAAGUAAAGGCGGUACUCGACAUGCGACCACCGAAGAACGUAAAGGAUAUCCAAAAGCUAACAGGAUGUAUGGCCGCCCUCAGUCGCUUCAUCUCAAGGCUAGGAGAAAAAGGCCUCCCUUUCUUUAAACUGUUAAAAGCGUCGGAAAAAUUUUUUUGGACAGAAGAAGCCGACACCGCAUUCAACCAGCUUAAGACCUUCCUCACUUCACCACCUGUCCUUACAGCCUGGAGUUUCGCACAAGGAAACAAGAUGUGGAGAUCAAGCAGGAUUCUAGUCGGUUAGAAUAGAAAUUGAUAUCGAAUUAUCCAUGACAAUUGUAACCGACUAGGGUUAGUUUCCGGAUCUGUAACCCUGCCCUCCAGACUAUAUAAGGAGAGGCAAGGGACCCCCCUAGGACAUCAUAUUCUCUCAACACAAAUCAAUACAACCAGACGCAGGACGUAGGUAUUACGCCAACUCGGCGGCCGAACCUGGAUAAAAAGCUUGUCCGUGUCUUGCGUCACCAUCGAGUUCGUAGUUUGCGCACCGUCUACCGAUAAACUACUACCGUGGGUAUACCCCAAGGUAGACUGCCGACUAGCUUUCGUCGACAAGUAACUAGCCAUGUGUAUCUAAAUAGAGUAGAAUUGUAAAAGAGGACGAUGGUAAUCCUAGUGUACUAUUCUUGAGAUGUCUUGAAAUAAUAAAAUAUAGAAGGGCUUUGCACGAAAAGAGGAUGUGAAAAACAUGGCUUAUGCCGAGGCUGUUUGUUCGGUUAAAAAAAUAAGUUGAAAAUAAAGUAAUGUUCACUAAUCUAUUGUGUGAGAAAAAUAUUGUAUCAUAGCUGAUAAGUCUGUGUGUCAUUGUUAUAUUCGUAACAUAAAUUUGCAAAACUCUACAUUUCUCCCUUUUUUUUAAAAAAAAUGACAGACACGAGCUACCUUUUAUAUAGUACAGUCAGGCUUCUCCUUACGUGAUUGAGCAAAGCUCCUGCCAUUUCUUAAAAAAAUGCAAGCUCGGUUGAUAAGGGUUUUGCCGUUUGAGGCUUCCGUUGAGCAUCACGUUUGUGUAAACUCAGAAAAUAAACUAAAAGCUGCUGUGAAGUGAUUUCGUGGCUUUUGAUUUGUUCUGGAAGCUAAAUAAAUAUUAAAUAAAUUUAAUAAUAAAAAUACAGCUACAAAAUCAGCUUUUAUGUCAGAAGUACAAAAGGUACCGCUCAAACAAACUAGCCCUUAGGGGGGCGUUUGGUUGCCUACACCAGUCCUCCUGAGCCAGGCUCUCCGCGUGCGAGAACAGACAUUUGUUUGGUUGGCAUAUGUGCCGAGCGAGGCUACACGCGUGCAAAAAGCCUCUCGCAGCCAGGCUCUGCUGAAACGCAGAAAUCGGCCGUUUUUGUUGGGCCUGGCUCACCUCAUGCGAGCAAGCACUGAACGAUGCAUGACGUGUGAGAUAGAGAUACGUGAACACGGUGAACCAAACAGAUGCUGCUGUUGGCCUAGCUGUAGUGAUCCAAGUAACCAAACAAGAUGCUAUCGCAUACAUAGAGCCUGGUCAAAGUUGGCCUGACUAGCUCUGUGCGAGCUAGGCUCUACCGAGCAACGAACCAAACAGUCUCUAGAUGUCUUCUUCUCACUGUGUGAAAAAAUGGCAUUACAGACGCGCCUUUACUGAUAUCACAGAUGCUCCUGAGUGCGUCAGUGAUAUAAAGUCUGAUAAAUAUUUAAUAAGACCUUAAUACUGACGCACUUCUAACAUCCGUAUGUAAGUAACACAUAGACACGUCAGUAGUAAAGCUUUUUCAGCGACGCCUAUCUAGAACACACGUCAUUAAGGUCCAGCUCGUCAGUACAAAAUUCUAACUGCAGACGCUUCUUCAGGAAUAGGGGUCUGUAGUAAGGAUUAAGCCACAGACGCAUUAUCCAGAGACGCGUCUACAGUAUGAAUUAAAUUGUAACAGUACCAUCGGCAUAUCUCUGUACUAAAUACCUCAAUGAAACGACAUAAAUACACAUCAACAUCUCAUUAAUUAGUACACAGCUUUAACACAAUCAAAUACAGAUCAAAGUUUAAUCACUAAAUUAAAUGUGUAGCUCUAAUAAAGUCACGUUACCUUAUGGCUGGCUAUCGAAUAACUUAUUUUGUAGCUUGAUCAAAACUGGCUCGUGGUCACCAGCGCACCAUGUGUGUCCAUUCAUCCAUGGCAGCUUAGGCGCGUGGCUUUGGCUUUGUGUCUCCCACCUCUCUAGUGAACGCGAUAGCUCUUGAAGUUUUUAUAUUUUCCAAAAUAAUUUCAAUUUUAAACGCGUACUAAAACAAAUUCAGGGUUACUGAUACAAAAUAUGAGAUCGGGUCGUAGAAAAAAGUGCCGAGAGAAAAACUUUUAGAAUAAAAAUAUAGAAAACUUUUGAAGAUGAUUUCUUUUUUUACUCCUCAUGUUAAUCUAGGAGUUCAUAAACAUGAUAUUUUGGGGAAUAUAAUAUAAAAGAUCUCUUGGAGAUGCUAUCUUUUCUUCCACCUCUCUAGUGAACGGUAUAGCUCUUGAAGCACAAAUCCAAUUCUACGGACGUUCAUUCAUUCUACCUCUUGAAGCUUUCAUAUUUUCCAAAAUAAUUUCAGUUUUCAAGACAUAUUCACUGGAACAGCCUCCCAAUAUCUAUUCAAAAUGUAUUCACACGAAAAAGUAAAUAUAUAUUCCAAAUGAGCAAAAUUCCUUAUUUGGUCAAACUUGCGUAGGAUUCCAAAAGGGUUUUUUUGAACGGUGCCAUUACAAUUUCAAAGUAUUUGAAAUAUGCCAUUAUAAUUCAGGUAUCCUGAAGCGGACCAUUACAAUUCUUGCAAAAUUUGAAAUAUGCCAUUGGAUACGGUAGAAGGACGCUUGGGCCUGCUUGCAAGCCGACGUGGCAUACGGUCGACCGUAUGCGCCCGUCGCCGUGAGCCAUCUAAACGGCGCGGCAAAAAACGCCGUCUCCACCCCGCCCCUGACUCAUUCUCGCUCUCCAUCUCUCUGUCUCUCUCGAGCGUAACCCUAGGCGCGGCGGCGGCGGCGUGGCGGCGGCGGCGCAGGGGGAGGCAAUGGAAUAGGGGCGCAUGUCCAUGGCAGACGUGCCCCCGUGCACGGCGCAGCGCAGGGCGCCGCGGAUGGGGGAUAGCAACGAAAGGUAAUGUUUUGUCCUUCCAGAGCACGAAUACGAGUGCAUUAGGUCUUGAUCUGUUGAUUGGCAUUAGAUAUUGAUGUGAUUUGGUUGAUGCUAGGGUUCCGCUAUUUUCUUUAGAAAUUAAAGUGGAAGCAUUCUGUUGGAGAGACUCUUUGGGUAGGAAAGCUUACACAAAGGGCUCUGUAAUUAAGUGGGAUGUGGAGAUUGGCUCGUUUUCAUUUGAUGUACUGAUGGCCAGCUUGCGCAAUGCUGUCAAUUGCUCUACUACUCAGUGUCCAGUUGCUUGGUUCUAUGAUAAAAGGUUGUCUCAAGAUGUCAUGCUAGAAAAUCAAUUCCAGAUUAAUGAUAUGUUUGAGAUGUAUAAGGAGGAGAUGCAUUGCCACAUUGUCGUAGGGGUAUUUGAUCAGUCUGUUCCCACUAUUGAUCAAUUUGAUGAACUAGAUCUUCCUCCUGACACUAGCACUGGCAACCCAGCCAGUACUGACAGUUAUGUUAACCAGCCCACAUUUGAGGCAGAUGUUGCACCAGAGGCUGAAGUUGAGACUCAACUUGAGCCUGAUAGGGAACCUGAUAUGUUUGAUAACGAUGAGGAGUAUGUGGGUUGUGAUGAUGAGGGCAUGUACAUGCCAACACCACCAACACAGCCUCCUAGUAAUUCACCUCCACAUGCUUCUCAUGAUGCUGAAAAUGCUGAUGCUGAUGCUGAUGCUUUUCCUGUUGAGGCAGAGGUCACUGAUGCAGACCCUGAAGAGAUCAAUAUCAUUCAUGACCCAGAACAUCCCAAGAUUGUAAAGGGGGAGUUAUUUCCUGAUAUUGUUUCAUUCAGGAAAGCUAUCAGGCAUUUCUCUGUUACUAAAGGCUAUGUGUUAGCUGGUAUCAAAACAGACCCAUCAAGAUUUAUUGCAAAGUGCAAAUCCGAGGGAUGUCCUUGGCGCAUACAUGCAUCUAGGCUGCAGGGUAGAAAGACAAUACAGGUAACUGUCUAUUCACUAGUUCCUUUGUGCAAGUUUUAUUUUUUCUUUACCUGACAUGUUUCGUAUGCACAGAUCAAAGUACUGCCUGCAGAAGAUGGCAUCACAGUCUUGGUGUGCAGAUAGGCUGGCAGAUUGGAUAAAAAAACAUCCAACAAAACGUGCAAAAGAGUGCAGGGAGAAGUUGGAAGAUGAUUAUGGCAUCAAGCUGAAGUAUUCAAAGGCUUGGUCAGGUAUGCAGUGCGCAUUGGAUCAAAUCCAUGGUAAAUAUGAGGAAAGUUUUCAACUGCUAUUCAAUUGGGGUGCUCAAAUUGAAAAGGUAUCUCUUGGUAGCACUGUAGUGGUAGAGGUUGACAAAAUUGGUAAGAAGAACAGAUUCAAAAGAAUGUUUGUUGCUCUAAAGCCUUAUGUAGAUGGAUUCUUGGCUGGUUGUAGGCCUUUUUUGGGUAUAGAUGCAUCUUGUUUGAAUGGAAAGUAUAGAGGUCAGCUAGCUUCAGCAACCAGUGUAGAUGGACAUAAUUGGUUGUAUCAUGUAGCUUAUGGCAUUUUUGACAUAGAAAAUGAAGACAACUGGACAUGGUUCUUGCAACUUCUUAGUAGAGCAAUUGGGCCUGUCCCAAAUCUUGUAGUUUGUACAGAUGCAUGCAAAGGCGUGGAGAAUGCAGUGGGUAAAACUUUUCCAACAGCUGAGAAUAGGGAAUGCAUGAGACAUAUGUACCAAAACUUUUAUGAAGCACUAUUCUAGUGAUGUAUUCACAGACCACCUUAUCCUACAGCUAGAAGUUACACUCAAGAAAAAUUCCAGUGGCACAUGAAUCAGAUACAUGAGUAUGCUCCUCAAGCUAUAGAAUAUAUUGAGAAUUACCACAGCAGGAUAUGGUACAGGUGUGGGUUCUCAGAAAGUAGCAAGUGUGAUUAUUUGACCAACAAUGUGUCAGAAAGCUUCAAUGCACAGGUGAAGCACCUCAAAGGUUUAUUAUUACAUGAACUGGUAGAUGUUGAUAUUUGGUAACGCAAUAAGGAAAUAAUCCGCAAGCGCACGGAUAUCGGUGAGCAUUUCACCCGGGAGGUUUUCCAGAGUAUCGUAUUUAUAUUUUUACCACUGGGAGAAAGGGUGCAUCUGACUAACCAAAUCUAUUGCUACUAUCCCUUUAGGCUACAAAGAAUGUUUCUCAAUGUGAGUGAUAUAUAGAGAAGACUGCAACCGUAGUCUCGUUCUAACCUUGGUAAGGAUGAUCUACUGUUCUAUUGGGGAAGCUUACGGAAUCUAGACACCACAAAGGAUGUUUGACCCGCACCUAUAAACCUACCCGUCCUGCUAACAAGAUAUGGGAUACAAAGGUAACUCGGAAAUGUCACGUUCCUCGCUACUACCACGGUCCAGCUAGUCAGGGGAUAUCUAUGAGUACCCUAGUGAAAGGUCCUAAUAUGGCUAGAGGGGGGUGAAUAGCCUAUUUAAAAAUUCUACAAACUCACUAGAGCGAGAGGUUAGUAAAUAACAAAGCGAAGCCUUUUGCUCUAGCUCUAAUGGGGUGUUUGCAAGCCACCUGUCCAACAAUUCUAGUUGAUAUAAUCACUAGACACACAAGAGCUAUGUCACUACUUACACUAGAAAGCUACCUAAAGUUUCUAUACAAGUAAGUAAGCUACUCUAGUUUGCGGGAAUGUAAAAGAGAUGGUUUUAACUUUAUACCGCCGCAUAGAGGGGAUGAACCAAUCACUAAUAUGAAGUCCAAUCACCGGGAGAAAUCCAAUGAACAAUCACAAUGGAUACACACAAUUUUACUCCCGAGGUUCACGUGCUUGCCGGCACGCUACGUCCCCGUUGUGUCGACCAACACUUGGUGGUUCGGUGGCUAAGAGGUGUAGCACGAACCUCGUCCUCACUAGGACACCACAAGAACCUACCCACAAGUGAGGUAGCUCAAUGACACGAGCAAUCCACUAGAGUUACCUUUCGGCUCUCCGCCGGGGAAGGUACAAGACCCCUCACAAUCACCGGGAGAUGGCCACGAACAAUCACCAACUCGUGCUAAUCCUCCUCCGUUGCUCCAAGCCGUCUAGGUGGCGGCAACCACCAAGAGUAACAAGAAAACCGCAGCUAGAACGAUCCCCAAGUGCCACUAGAUGCAAUCACUCAAGCAAAUUCACUUGGAAUCACUCCCAAUCUCACAAAGAUGUUUAAUCUAUGAAGGAGAUGAGUGGGAGGUGUUUGCUUAGGCUCACAAGGAUGUUAUGUAUGUUAGAAUGCCAAGAGAGUGAGCCCCAAGCCGGCCAAACACGUAUUUAUAAGCCCCUCAAGCAAAUAGAGCCGUUGGCACUUUCACUGGGCAAACUGCGGGGUCACCGGACGCUCUCAAAGGGGCACCGGACGCUCAACACCAGCGUCCGGUGCUCCAACGUCAGCCAUGUGUCGCCUUUUGAAAAACUCGUGUCAGAGUCUAACGGUCACCUGCAGUGCACCGGACGCUAAGCAAGUUAGCACCGGACGCGUCCGGUGCACACCGGACUCAUGCGCAGAGAGCUCCGCAAACUCGCACGGUCACCGGACGCAAGCCACCGGACGCACCCUGAGCAUCCGGUGCUCACCGAACUCAUGCGCAGAGAGGGUUGCAAAACGCCCUCACACCGGACGCUAACCACCGGAAGCGUCCGGUGCUCACCGGACCCAUGCGCAGAGAGGGUCGCAAAACGCCCACACACCGGACGCGCACCACCGGACGCUCAAGCCAGCGUCCGGUGCCUAUCGUCCGGUGCCUUACCCUAGCUGGGCCAGGCACUGUCUGCACCGGACGCUCAGACGCAGCGUCCGGUGCUCCAGAAGCCAGCGUCCGGUGAGUGUUUUCUCAGCGAGAAACACUCCCACGACUACUCCAAAUUUCCUACCGACGCAAUAGAAAAUAUGCAUUUUAUUUUCUCGAAAAGCGCCGAAUCCCACCUCGCAAGCUCGGCGGGAGGGAGAGAGGAACCCAUCCUCUCUCUACGUACUCUUCAAACUCCACCUCCUUCUCAAAGUGUGCCAACACCACAAGUGUAAACCAACAAGUGUGCACGUGUGUUAGCAUUUUCACAAUCAUUUUCUUAGAAGGAGUUAAGUUAGCUCACUAGGUUCUAAAUGCAUACACAUGAACAAUGACACCUAGUGGCACUUGAUAACCGCUUAGCCAAAGAAUUCCCCUCUUUAUAGUACGGCUAUCUAUCCUAAAUGUGAUCACACCCUCUAUGGUGUCUUGAUCACCAAAACCAAAACCCUAAGCAAUACCUUUGCCUUGAUCUCCAUAGGGUUUUGUUUUUCUCUUUCUUCUUUUCCAAGUUGAGCACUUAAUCAUCUUGUGGUCAUCACCAUGAUCAUCAUGAUCAUCACUUGCUCCAUCACUUGGCAUGUACCAACCUCAUUAAGUCUACACACACUUAGUAUAGAGGUUAGUACUAGGGUUUCAUCAAUUAUCCAAAACCAAACUAGGGCUUUCACCUAGCCUAAACACCACGUUUACGCUAGCAAUAAUUACUCUAAUACUCAACCGGAAGAGGAUUAAAUUAAACUCAUAAACCAAAGAACAAUAAAACAAGAACUUACUAGAAUUAGAAGUCGAAUUACUGAAGAAUCUUAGAAGCAAGCCUCGGGUUAGAAGACUUGAUCCCGCAGGUACAACUCGGAGUAGACACCGACAGGUCGGCCUUCCUCCGAUCUACACCUCCACUCUAUCUCUCUCAAUCUAGUAGAAACUAGAAGAUCUAUUUCUACUUACAUUGGUUGCUAAGCCUAAAAAAAUAUUAUUUAGAGAAGAGGUUUUCCUUCGAGGGCACCCCUCAAUCUCUAUGAUAACUUCUUGUCUUCUCCAGGGGCCAGGGGGGUCUCCUUAUAUAGUCCUCCUCCUCUAUGCGUUUUUGGGUCGGUAGGCGAUGUGGUACUACAUUAUCCUUGAUCCAUUAGGUCGGUGGAACAUCGUGUGCGAAGAGAGUCCCGAACGGAGUCUAGGACACGGCGGGCGCCCAGGGAAAGAGGGCGGGCGCCCUGGGCCUGGCCCCUUUCGGCCUCUGCUUUCUUCCCGUGGCUUCUGGAGUCUUCUAGAUGGUAGAAAAUUACGCGGUGCGUUGAUAUCUCUAUGUAAUCCCGACAUGUGGGCCUUUCUUCCGUAUUUUUUGAUAACCCCCUGCAGAAAUAGACAAACACCAAAACUCAUGGAAUUCUGUCAGAUAAAACCCUAAGUCUAGAUGUUGAUUUCAUUUGGAUCCUUUUCUUUGUUUAUUUGAUAAUUAAAUUUGAUACUUAAGGACCGUCAACAGUAGACAGAAUUAGAGAGCUUAUAAUGGAGAAGAGAUAUUUGAGGAAGAAAGUUGCUAGGCAGUGGGAAGAUGGAAUCCUCCCAAAUGUGAUGAAGGAUUGUUGGGUAUUCUUAACAUCAUUACCAAAAGUAGACUAAGUUCUCUAAAUCUAGUAACGGUGCCAAAAAUGCCAAACCUAUCCCUCACACCACUUAAGCCAAGUUGUCAUCCCCAGCAUGACAUGAGAGACGCGGUAUUGAAAUAUGCAAUUGCUCUUCUAAAUAAAUAAUGAAUGAGAUCUGCAAGCGCACAGAUUAAUACCGAUGUAGCAUUUUAACCGGGAAGUAUUCUAGGUAUCGUUAUUUAUAUUUUUACCACUGGGAAGGGAUUAGCAAUCAUCACUAUUGAUUACAGAAUAGAAUAUGAGAUUGAGCAUCUAUCAUUGCAUGUAUAAUUGAGAACAUUUAUCUAACUCUUCAUACAGGGAUAAGUGUCACAUAAAAGAUAUAUGAAAUAAUAAUAGUGACAAGGAUAACUAAUCUGAUCUAGCCACAUAAUAAAUAUGAUAAGCACCUCAAUUAGAUACUCUAGAAAGUCAUUAGCAUGGUAUUAGAACGAACUAUAAGAAUAUUCCCUAAGUUAUUCUCAACUAUAUAGUUUAGCAUUAUCAUAGUUAGUGCAAGCAUACUUAGCAAUCAUUGUGAGACAAGACUACGCCCAUGCAUAGUGAUAUUAGCAAGGAAUAUGAGAAACAUAGCAAUCACUCCCCUAUAAUAAUGUUGCUCUGCCAGCCCAAUACACGAGAGGGGGACUAUAUAAGAAUCAAUGAAGCUGUCACUAUCACGAACCACCCCACGAUCUGGCAUAUUGGGUACAAUCGCAGAUAAAUAUGGUAUAAGCACCACGCCUACACAAUAUCUAUCAUUUACCCAUGGAUCCGAUGGAUAAACGCUAUACGAUCCUAAGCAUGUAUAUAGAUCGAAUCUAACUAAGCCAAGUACAUAACUAUGAUAAACUAAGAACAAUAUAAUCUUGAAUAUAAGCAAGUAGAGCAAAGUCAUAAGCAAUAUAUUGAAGUAGAACAAAGUCAUAUUUAUAAUAUUGAAGAACAAAGAUAAUUAGAAAGUAAUUAGAAGCACAAUUAGAGAAUUACCAAGAAUCCUCUUGACAGAUCCGGAAACCAAUCGAAGAUUGACUCCUUCUAGUUCUAAUCCUAUGUAGCUAUGCUAAUCUAGAUAUCUAAUUGAUGUGGUGGCUCUAAUCUUGAUCAGAGGCUUCUUCUCCCUUGAAGAACAAUGAAUUAGGGUUGAGAGGCUCCCCCCUCUAGGGGCCAGGGGGUCUGGUUUUAUAGUCCCUUCAAGUGAAUAUGGGCCGUUGGAUCAAACCGACAUAGAUUGUAUGGUUUAGAUUCAUCCUUUAGGUCGGUGGAAAUCUCCCACGAAGCAGAGUCCUGAUUGGACUCAGGAGGUGGGCGGGCGCCCUGAUCACCUGGGCGGGCGCCCAGGGUCACGCCCCGUUUCGCCUCCGCUUCGGUUUCGUGGCUUCUGGAGUCUUCUAGAUGUAAGAUAAUUGCGCGACACGUUAAUAUCUCUAUGUAAUCCCGACGUGUGGGCCUUUCUUCCGUAUUUCCUGAUAACCCCCUACAGAAAUAGACAAACACCAAAACUCGUGGAAUUCUGUCAGAUAAAACCCUAAGUCUAGAUCUUGAUUUCAUUUGGAUCCUUUUCUUUAUUUAUUUGAUAAUUAAAUUUGAUACUUAAGGACCAUCAACAAGGAUCUCAACCUGAUCAGUACUCAACUCAAUGUAGUCAAGGUCAAAGUCAGUGAUGAUAACACUGCUGAAGUUACAAUCCUGGAGUGGGAGAAGCAAAGGAGGCACACUGUGGACCUAGGAAACCACAAUUGUUCCUGCAGGCAGUGGCAAGUGACUGGAAAGCCAUGUAAGCAUGCUUUGGCUUGGAUACUGUCAAUCCCAGGGAUGAGAAUUGAGGAUUAUGUACAUGAGUACUAUUCAGUUGCUAGAUUUAAGGCAGCUUAUGCUGAUAGGAUUGAGCCUAUCCCAGACAAGGAUGAAUGGCCUGUUGUCAACCUUGGUUUUAAAGUGUAUCCUUCAUUGCUAGGCAGAGGUCCAGGAAGGCCAAGGGUUGUAAGAAUUAGAGGGACUUUUGAGCAGAGGGCCACGAAGAAGAAAGUUAGGUGCAAGAGAUGUGGUGACUUUGGACAUUUUUCCAAGACCUGCAAGUUGCCAGAACUAGGUGAAGAUGGAGAAAGAGGACAAGGGUCUUCAAAAAGGUAUUAAAACUAUUGUCUAACCAUUUUAUUAUUUUUUCCUAUGUACUAAGAUCUAACCGGCUAUUGUCAUCUCAACGCAGAAAGAGGCCGACUCAGCAAGUGUCAUCACAGGAAGCUCCAACGCAGGAAGUACCAACACAGGAUGAUGCUGGACCUUCCCAGGUGAAGAAGACCAAGCCUCUGAAGAAGGUUACAACUAAGAAGAAGAAGAAGACACCAAAGAAAACAAAGCUGCAGAGGGAAGCAGCUGCACCUGGGAAGGCUGUUAUCAGCAGCAUCAGGCACCUGAUCUAUGAUGCUCCACAGGAUGCUGAUCUAUGAUUCUCCACAGGAUGCUGAUCUAUGAUGCUCCACUUAUAUGGCUUUGUUCUGAACCUUACUAUGUAAUGAGGCAUUAGAAUGCCAACUUGGAACUUGUAUGGCUGAUGCUGCUACUAUGUAAUGAGGCAUUAGAACUUGCCAACUAUUUUCAGUCAUGUGAACUCUACUUAUGUUAGUUUGUACUCUCCUGUAUUGUGUCAAUUAUCAUGUGAACUCUACUUAAAAUGUUAAGAAAACAAGACAAAGUGCUGCAGAAAUUCUAAUAUAUUUUGAAGCUGAAAUUCUAAUCUAUUUUCAGUGACAAAAGGCAUAGGACAAUGCUGAUCAUACUCAUCGAAGAAACUCAGUGACAAAAUGCUUGUUCUUUCAUUGCAAAUACACAUAAUUACAGUCACUUCAUCAUCUGAGAAAAACCUACACCUAGCAGUACACCCACAAGGACACCUACAACAACAGAUACAUCCAACACAAUUUGCAUUUUCCCCUUCCUGCCCAAGUCCAGUGCUGGACUCUGAUUACUAACUUGACUAGGAACAGCAACAACAUCUCUGUCUCCAAGUUGCACCUUCAUUUUCUCAAGUUCAGUGACAACUCUAUCUAGAGUUUGCUUCAUCUCCUUGUCCCGUUGAUUCAAAUCAUCAUUAGGAUCCCCAACUGCUGAAUGAAGGGGCAACUGCAGCUGAAUCUCUUUCUCCUUUUGCUUCAUAAACCAUGCCUCGUACUGCUCCUCCGAACGAAUCCAGCCACAAGUUGUUGGAUCACCCUGUGCAAGCAACACCAGUCAAAUUGAAAACAAAGGAAGCACAUUCAAGGGCAUAAACAAUGCAAAUAGUUACCUUUACGUUGUUUGGGCACUUGAUGAAUGCGACAUCCUUUGAGUGCUCUUGCUUGCUCACGAUUCGGAUCAAAGGAACAUUGCACACUGGGCAGUUCAGUAGGGGGCACUGCACCCUUCUACUGCCAGCAGCGGAAGAGCUCGAGGCCAUCUUCAUCUGCAGCGCCGCCGUCGGGAUCGUGGCACCGGAAUCGCCGCCGCCGCGCCUAGGGUUACGCUCGAGAGAGACAGAGAGGUGGAGAGCGAGAAUGAGUCAGGGGCGGGGUGGAGACGGCGUUUUUUGCCGCGCCGUUUAGAUGGCUCACGGCGACGGGCGCAUACGGUCGACCGUAUGCCACGUCGGCUUGCAAGCAGGCCCAAGCGUCCUUCUACCGUAUCCAAUGGCAUAUUUCAAAUUUUGCAAGAAUUGUAAUGGUCCGCUUCAGGAUACCUGAAUUAUAAUGGCAUAUUUCAAAUACUUUGAAAUUGUAAUGGCACCGUUCAAAAAAACCCAUUCCAAAAUAGAAAGUCCUUUUCCUUCCCAAACAGAAAACCAUGUUUAUCUGCCAACAGUUUCUAACCCAUGGGUCCCACGGGUGCCAACGGUUUCCCUCUUGAUCCUCCCCAAUCGCCCGCUCACACCACCACGCCGCCACGCCGCUCAUCGUUAACUUCCUGCCCUCCACGGACUUAUCCGCUCGUCGCGCCCGCCUCAAGCUAAUGACGAAUCUAAUGAGUAGAAGAGUGAGGGCAUGUGUCCUUAAGGAAAAAAAACGUCUUCGACCAGAAAUCUCCACCUGCCGCGCUGUGGAGUUCUCGUGCUGGGGCUCCUCCCCGUGCGUCGCCACGGUGCCGUGGCUGACCACACGAGCGCGGCUUGGCAUGCGUCUAAAGAUACAGUGGCCGUUGUUGGAGAUGACCUUGAAGCUGUGCAUCUGCCAUUCUGCCUUCCAUUGGUGCCUAUGGGGUACACUGUCAAACAGCGCUGGUGCCCCCUCCAUCGGCGCGGGAGGAAGAAGAUGACCAGGUUGAGCGGUGUGGAACCGUCGUAAACGAAUCUGCGCGGUUUCUCCCAACACGGUUGACUGUGGGCUGAUUUACGGGUACACGGUUAGUAUACAGCAUCGUACAUACCACUCAUAUAUAUAGUCAUAUAUAACAUCUCAAGUCCAUACACGGCACACUGCUUAGAGAACCUUUAUUUAUUUUGUAUGAAAAAGGGACAUGAAAGAAAACCAUUCUCCGAAUAUAUCAAAACAUGUAUAAGGCUGCCCGUGAAGUAGAAUCGCAUCCCCAUCCACAGAUUUAGUUGUAGGCGUCGGGGUUGGCGACGAGGUAGGCCUCGGCACCCUUGAAAAUGGCGGUGAGUGCCUCCUUGGCCUUGGCUUCCUCGUCCUUCUCGUCCAUGCCCGGCAGCAACUUGUAGGUCGACUCCACCUUCACCACGCUGCCGCCGUCGGCCGUGGGCUCCACCUUGAUGUGUGACGCCGCGGUCUCGAUGGCAACACCGAUGCCGCCGCCCUCGACGAGCGUGUUCUUGCACUCGCACUUGUCCACGUCCAGGAAAUCGAGCCUCUCCUUCAUGAAGCUGAACGGCAUGACUGCAAGAACGAUCGCGCACGUCAUUCGCUAGCUAUUUGAUCGAUCGAUCGGGCGACAACAUGUUGGUCUGGGCGACUGGGCAUGCUGCGGACACUUACAUGAGGUGAAGUUGAACUGCCUGACGCUGCCAACGCCGCCGUCGCCCUCCACGGGGUGGGCGCUGGCGACGACGUGGGAGGCGACCUUGGGCGCCAGGGUGUGCCAGUCCAUCACGGCGGCGCGGAACAGGCGCGGCGCGGCCACCGGCGACGGAAUCUCCAGGGUCCAGCUGCUGGCGGAGGCCAUUACUUCAGUGAUCGGCCGAGAUAAACUAAACUAGGUGCGAGCCGAAGCUGCUUAGGUGCUUGUGCUGCUGCAGGUGGUUUUAGGAUUGCGCUUUUGCUUGCGUUGCCAUUAGAGUGGCGGACGGAGGACUUUAAAUAGGCGGUUAUGGCGGGGUUGGUGGCGUCCCGUGAGGAUGAGACGCUCGGGAGUCGUCGUCGGCGGCUCUUCCCACUUUGGCUUGGCACGGCACCGUCGCUCGUCGGUCCAUGUAGUUCAUUAUAAUAUACUACAUGUUGCCGGGGUUGCGGACAAACGUCUGGAAACGUGCUGCCAUUCCGUCAGCGUUCAACCCCUGAAGGUGUAGAAUAUAUAUCGUCGAAUUGGCGAGCCAAAUCAGCUUCCAGAUCAAAAAGCAUGUACUGUAAGCGUGGGUUGGUGUCAUUAGAAACGAGAAUUAUACCGUACGUGAGCGUCCUGACUACUUGCAUCACUCUUUUGGUGUCGCACUGUCGCUAUUAACUACUAAUAAUAAACAUAAUCCUGUAAAUCCACCUCUUUUUAAUCAUCCUAUAAAUACCUCUACUGGCGACAGCAUGGACAAAGCUCAUACGGAAAAUAACAUAGUGGUGGCCAAAGCUGUAUGGGAAAAUAUUGAUUGCAGACUAUCAAUUGGGUGCAAAAGUACUCAGUGUAAACUAUUAAUUAAGUGCAAAUAUAAAGACAAUUGCUAUGUCACAGUUGAUUGUUUUAGCCUCCGUGAAUAACUGAUUUCCUGGCCGUUUGAUUCUUAUCACGUGGGAUGAAAGAAAGACCAACAACGCUGCGGAAGCAGAGCGUGAGGAAGGACCGAAGGAGCCACCAGGGGUCCACUGAUGUCGCCAUUAGCACCAAGGAGAGGCCGUCGUCAGAGUCAGAGUCAGGGUUGUAGAGGGCUAUCACGUCCGUUGUCGAGGUCGGGGUGGGGUAAAGAUGGCAAUGGAUAAUUACCCGCUGGGUAUAUGCUACCCAUACCUUUACCGAUGAGAAAAUAUUUUACCCGUUAAUUUACAUAUCCAUGUAUGGGUAAGAGUUUUUUCCCAUACCCUUACCCACGUGGGUAACGGGUAAUCCAUGAGUUUUCUUACCCAUGAUUCUAAGAAUACUUGUAAAAAAUAAAUACAUAUUUAAAUAUUCUAGACUCCCAAUUUCAGCCAAAGUAUCAUAAGUCAUUAAUAAAAUCAUCAAAUAUACAAGCUCCAUGAAUACCUAAUCAAGUAAUCUAAUAGAUAAAUCCAUCAUUACUAGACAACAAGUGACAAAAUUUACAAGUUUCCGUGUUGUGCGGCCGCCGCAAGGAGAUAGGGGAAAGGUGAGAGAGCGGAUGUGUGAGGUACUAAGGUGAGGGCCUAGAGUUUGACAGCAUUAUAUAUGAUUUUUAUUGGACUUGGCCUGUGUAUGGUGAUUUUGGUCCAUAAUUCUAACUUAUUGAAUCGGGUCCAAUCCCAUACCCUUACUCGCUUUACCCGCUGGCUAAAGCUUUUUCCCAUUAUCUUACCUAUGGAUAAAAAAAAUAGUCAUACCUUUACCCUAAUGAAGUAAUUAACCAUCGGAUUUCGAGUAAAAAUUGACAUCUUUAAGGUGGGGAAUGGCCGCCGCAUCUACCAUAGCCACCUGCUUCCUGAGAUCCAUGGGGAAAGAGCCCGCCGCUAGCCGAGGGUGAGGAGCCGCCGCCUCUGUGUGGCCAACUUCAUGUCGGGCCUCUACCGUGGCGGGGGUAGCUCACAGAAGGGAAGGGAUAAAGUUGGUGAGGGUGGGUCCCACCAUAAUUGGUGAAUAAUUUGCCAUGUAUUUCUCUAAUAUCUACUAUCUAAAGAAAUAUUUUGUAUUUUUUUCUGAAAAGUUUGGCAUAUUUGUCUUUGAGAUAUGUAAUCUAUAAAAAUACCUAAGAUAUAUCACUAUAUCCAAUAAAUGACACUAUGUGUUAGCAUUUUCUCACUACAUUUUCAAAGGUGUUAACACACUAGAUUCUAAUGCAUAUGCAUUAUCAACAACAGCUAGUGACACUUGAUAAACCGCUUUUAACCAUAAUUUUCCUCUCUUUAUAGUACAGCUAUCUAGUCGACUAGUCCAAACCCAAUUAUAUCCUCUAUGGUAUCUUGAUUGGCGAAACAAGAAUGGCCCUAUCACAUACCUUUGCCUUAAGCUCAUUUUUAUUUUUCUCUUUCUUUUUUUCCAAGUUGGAGCACUUGAUCUUCACACUUGACCACCUCCAUCAUCUAUAGAUGCCAUAAUCUAGCUGGUGUGUACCAAUCCUAUUUCCUAUCUUAUAUACACCUAAAGCAAUGGUUAGUAGACUUAGAUCUCAUCAAUUAUCCGAAACUAAACUAGAACUUUCAUGUAGUGACACAACAUCUACUUUCUCUCACCCUUCCUCUUUCAUGGAAUGCAAGCAUUCAUACAUCAUUAGUAUGUUGUAUGUAAUGAGUCUCUCUAGCACAAACACCGACUGUUCUUCCGAAAUCACCUUUGGGAAAAAAUAAUCCACAGUCUGUUUGCCACCGUCUUAGAAGCAAUCUUAUAUAUCAUGUUACAUAGACUGAUGAUAGGCCAAAACAGCCCGCUCGACCAACUUCUCCACUUUUGUGAUCAAUACUAUUCAUGUGCUAUUUAUCACAGAAGGAUCAUCCUCGCCACAUAAGUCCUAGUGCCGCUAAAAAAAAUGAGCAGGAAAACCAUCUGGCCCCGGCGUUUUUGUCUUAAACAUGUGAGAAAGCUUAGUCCUGAUCUCCUCCUUUCGUAUACAAGGCGAGUGUCCUGACAACUACUUGCAUCACUCUUUUGAUGUUGCACUAUCGUUGUUAGCCUUAUCAUUAACUCCUUUCCUCUCUAAUCUCUAGAAUUAAGCAAAGAUUUGAAUGCUUUCUCAAUUUACCAUCAUAUAAUUAUUAUAUUAUAAUAUAAUCAAAUAAAUACACCUCUUUUUAUUCAUCCCGCAAAUAUAUCUAGUGGCAAUGAGUAUGGAAAGAGCUAAUACGAAAACUAUCAUAGUGGUGGCCAAAUACAUGAGAAAAUAUUCAGUGCAAACUAUAGAUUGGGUGCAAACAUAAACCCUUUAUAACAUAAUUAGAUGUUUUCUUAAAAAAAUGCCCACUUCGCCACUAAAGUUAAGAUACAAAGAAAUGGGGUGGGGGUGUGAUGCAAAGAUAUUGGAGAGUGAAUCUCUUCUUUCAAACCUCCCAAGAAACUAGUCACAAAGUAAACAUAAUCGUAGGAGCUAUUGUACAAUAGAAUUUGAUGCGCAGGCUGUUCAAGCUACUCAAAUUACUGUGACCGAACUAGUCUACUGAAGAUGAUUGUUUCAUACAUAACUCAUAUUGGUCACGAUUAAAAUAAUUACAAACCGCAUCACAAGAGCAGGCCAAGAUGUGAAACAACCACACAACUCUUUAAAUUGUAACCAAGUGGCAGCGGUCCUCCAGAACUCAAUGCAACAGAGCUAGGCUUCAAUGUCUCGCUGAUAGAGUACAUCUCAAAAUAGAUCUUACAGUGAUCCUUCCACAACCAUAAAUUGUCACCAUCAAAUUUGGGGAAAUAUGAUUUGGGCAUCGGACCAACUGGAGAUGUAUAAGAAUAUGAAUGUUCCAUCGGUCCACCUAUCAUUCCCUUGUACUUGCGUGCCCGUUAGUUAGCUAUUAUGUUCCUCUUUUUUAUUGGAUCCCAAACACCUCUGCUUCUAGACCAACUUCCAUCGUCGUCUACACAUAUCCCAUGGAGUUAGAGCAAGUUUAAUUAAUACAGUCCACUUGCUGACUGUAAGGUUCCUUACAGCCUUCUUUCAGCCCCACCCAUACAAUAGUUAGUUAUUCAUUAUUAAUACAUGACUCACUUAUCUCUCUUACAAAGUUUUCAGCUUACAACAUGCUUCUCUUCUCUCUCCUCCACCUCAGUAUUUAGCCAGCUUACAGCCCACUAUAAUACUUGCUCUUAUGACAAAUGCCUACUUCUCUCGCCUUUUUAGUGAACACUAUAACUCCUGGAGUCUUCAUAUUAUUCGAAAAAUAAAUUCAAAUUUCAACAAUGACACAUUCAGCAGAAUAAAAAGUCUCCAAAUUUCUAUUAAAAAAGAGCAAACAUUCCUUAUUCAGUCAAACUUGCAAAGGAUUUCAAAACAGAAGACCUCGUAUAACCAUGAGGGUGUAAGUAAUCUCACAAACAAAGCAUCACAAACCACUUAUAAUCUCAAGUCCAUACACGGUACACCACACACUGCAUAGAGCAACUUUAUUUUGUUUUGUAUGAAAAAAGAGGAAAACUCCAGGAAAGAAAAAAGAAAAUUAAACCCAAACUUCAGGAAGGGGAAUCGCAUCCCAAUCGACUGAUUUAGUUGUAGGCGUCGGGGUUGGCGACGAGGUAGGCCUCGGCACCCUUGAAAAUGGCGGUGACUGCCUCCUUGGCCUUGACUUCCUCGUCCUUCUCGUCUACGCCAGGCAGCAGCUUGUAGGUCGACUCCACCUUCACCACGCUGCCGCCGCCGGCCGCGGGCUCCACCUUGAUGUGCGACGCCGCGGUCUCGAUGGCAACACCGAUGCCGCCGCCCUCGACGAGCGUGUUCUUGCACUCGCACUUGUCCACGUCCAGGAAAUCGAGCCUCUCCUUCAUGAAGCUGAACGGCAUGACUGCAAGAACGAUCGCGCACGUCAUUCGCUAGCUAUUUGAUCGAUCGAUCGGGCGACAACAUGUUGGUCUGGGCGACUGGGCAUGCUGCGGACACUUACAUGAGGUGAAGUUGAACUGCCUGACGCUGCCAACGCCGCCGUCGCCCUCCACGGGGUGGGCGCUGGCGACGACGUGGGAGGCGACCUUGGGCGCCAG
rnacentral:lncRNA from 1 species